GUAAUUUUGGACUAAGAGCAUAGUCAGGUUGACCCUCCCCUUUUGCAGAGCUGUCAGGGAUGGAGGAGCCUUGACUGGGCACCGCAAAUGCCUUCAGUGCAACAGAUCUGUAACAGCUUUGGAAACAGAGGAGGACAUCAAAUCCUGUCCCUCUGGGAAGCAUUAAGAAAAACAUGGCAUUCAGAGGCACUUUCUCCUGGAUGGGGCUUGUGCUGCUGGUGUAAUGGAGAGCCCUUUUGAAGUGUUUCCUCAUCCUGGUCUUGAAUCCCCUGGCAGCGGUUUGAGCCCCUUGGAGAAUCAUAGAAUCAUCGAACCGCCUGGGUUGGAAGGGACUUCUCAGAUCAUCGAGUCCAACCAUCAACCCAACACUUACCAAAACCAUCACUAAACCACGUCUCCUUCUCUUUGGAAUGACCCAAACCCCCUCCGAUCCAUCCAGCAUCCCCAGGACAGCGGGCUCCACGGCUCCAGGAGGCUGGGACUUGCCAAGCUGAGAUGACAUCUACAAACCCCCACCCCAAAACAUGGCUCACAGAGAAGGUCCAACCAUGCACCGCUACCCGGUGCUGCCCCAACUGGCUUGGGGGAAUCAGAGAUGGAAAAAGAGCCAUUUCCAUGAUGUGCUUUGUGUUUUUCUUGCUCCUUACACAGCGCAGGGUGGAUUUAACCCUUGUCUGGGCUUUCCCUGCCCACCACCAGGGUUGGCCAAGGCUCAGAGAACCCAUGAGGAUGGAAGGGUUGGAUGUGGAGGCAGCACCCUGGGCUCUGGCAGUGCCUGGGGCGAGCUGUGCACCCAGCCGUGCGUGGGAUGGGGAAGAAGCCAGAGCAGCCUGGAGAUGUACGUGCCGCAGACCAGGAGGAAGGAACCGGCUGUGAGGAGCUCGUGGGAGGAGGAGGAAUAAAAAAACCUGGGUGUCAGCAAGUGAGGCAGAUUGAGAGGCUGAGAUGUAUCUUUCUGGUAGCUGCUAUCGCGUGGCUCUCGGCUGGAUCUCCUCCUCCUCCUCCUCCUCCUCCCCGUGCCCUGCUGUGUUUUGCCGUGUCGCCCACAGUGCCGGAGCAGAGCCCCGCGCCCCGACUCCUCCUGGCACCAGGGAAGCCACGUGUGGGACACCCCAUGCCCCACGACAUGGGGACACCAGUUUGUUUCUUGAAACCUCUGCUGUGAGCACGGGUGGCAAAAUAAACUCUAAUUAAAGGCCA
rnacentral:lncRNA from 1 species